rnacentral:misc_RNA from 1 species
GCCACUGUAAGGUGGUGUAAUCCAUCGUGAGGUAUAAUAGUGAAGGAGGUGGAAUGUGUUUGUCGUUGCUACAACAAACAACAAAGAACUUAUUUUAUAAAUUCAAGUUGUAUUCCAAUGGAAUUGAGUAUUGAUCGAUUAAUUGAAUCAGAAUAAUGAGAAAAUAUGAAAAAAUAUGAAAAAAAUAAUGGUCAAACCAAAAGUUUUAGAAGACAGACAAAAUGCACAAGAAGAGAAUUUAGAACAACAAAAAGAAAGAAUUUUCGCGAAAGAGCUACAUUUUCAGAAUAUUCUAGCAGAAAAAUAUGACAAAUAUGGUGCUAAAGAUAAAUUUAUUUAUUCUUUGUACAAUGAUUUAUUGAAAAAUUUUGUAAUCGAGUUGGAUGGAUAUUUGUUACCUAAAAAGUUUAUUACCUCACACAUAUGUAAUAAUAAAAUAUGCGGAAUUUUUAAUAAUAAAAAUGAAAAUGAAGGUACGUCCUUAGAAGAUAUUACAGAAACGAAAUUUGAUGAAAACAAUGAUCUUAUAAGAGAUAAAACAAAUAAAUUAUAUUUAAGAUCAAGUUUAAAAGAGGAACAUAUUCAUUUCUAUUUUCUCAAUAAUAAUAGCUAUUGUGGUUGUACAAGUAGAAAAAUGAUGAACGGAGAAGGAUUAUAUAAAUGGCAUCAUGGUAUACAAUAUAAGGGUCAGUUUAAGGAAAAUCAAAUACAAGGUAGGGGACUUUUAGAAUGGCAGAGUAAUUGUUGGUACGAAGGAGAAUUUAUGAAAGGUUAUCGCCAUGGUAAAGGUACACUGGUGGACAAAGAUCAUUAUCGUUUGUAUAUAGGUCAAUGGCACAUGGGAUACAGGCAUGGAAAAGGUUAUUGUUGUUACGCUGAUGGUGACUCAUAUGACGGAGAGUGGUCAAUGGGUAAAAGAAAUGGUAUAGGUUUUUAUGUGUAUUCAAGCGGAGCUCGAUAUAAAGGCCAUUGGAAAAAUGAUUUUCGACAUGGAAAUGGAAUUAUGGCAUGGCCCAAUGGCGAUGUUUAUCAUGGAGAAUGGGAAUGUGGAGAUAUACAUGGGUCAUUAAUUAUUCUUUUGGUCUUUCUUUUCUCUUUUUCAUUAUUAAAAAUUAACGUGAUUGAUACAAUUUUAAUAAUUAAUAGUUAUGGUGAAUAUAUAUGGCAUGGCUUUUGUAACAAAAAUUUCUGUUGGCCACAAAGUAUUUUAUAUUUUGGCAAUUGGUAUCACAGUACAAAACAUGGAAAAGGUUUAUUGAAGUUGAACUCAAUGGGUGGUGUAAAGUAUUUUGGCUAUUGGAAAUAUAAUAAGAAACAUGGUUAUGGAAUAAUAAUUGGAAAUAAUGGAGAAUUAAUGGAGGGUCAACCUUUAUAUUCCAAAGAUAUUCUAACUUCUUCACAUGCAAAUAAGAUAUCGAAUAUCCUGAAACCUCGUACAGCUACAGUUUUAAGGCCAGAACAAUUUCCAUCUUUAUCGUACCAUAUAAAUCGUUUAAUUAAAUUAUCAUCAAUGACAAACUUUUCAGUUUGUUCUCGUUCCUUAGGAAAAUGUUAUGUUUGUAAACAACAACAACAACAACAGUCAUGCUCUUGUUUGCUUCAAUUUUCGUUUCAAACAAGGUAUGAACCAAAUAUUCGCAUAAACAGUAUCGAUAUAAAAUGGCAAUCUGAACAAAAUCAAAUAUAUGAUUAUUUAACAAUGCACAUGUUACAAAUACGACAUGUCUAUGACAUUUAUGCAAAAUUAUUUAACAAGGAAGAAUCUAAUUGUAAGUGUCACUUUGUUAUGAUUAAACUGACACUUUGGCAAUUAUGGCGUGAUUGUAACAUUAAUAACAAAGGUUUCAGUUUAAUUGAAAUUGAUAAUUAUCUAGCUGAAAAUGAAUCAAGUUUUAUAACAAAACCAUAUUAUCCAUUUGAACAAAUUGAAAUCUGGCAAUUUUUGCAUGCUUUGCUUGAAGUUUCAUGGCGCAUUUAUUACUGGAAAGAUAAUCAAAUAAAACUAAAAAAACAAUGGGAACACGGAGUGAUAGCAAAAUGUUUAAAUGAAUUUCUCACACAUGAUGUGUAUCCCAAUGCUGGAAAUUUUAUUGGUGUGAUUCCACGUGAAUUUAAUAUUCUUCUGCCAAUUAAUUCUAUAUAUAAACUUUACAAACAAAUAGGAUAUCCACCAACUGCAACAGAUCUGUUAAUAGCAAGUGUUAGAAAUCGUAAAAUAGGUGCUAAUGUACCUUCAAUAACCCAAACUACUUUAAUUAUGCCAGAAUACAUUUUCAAUGGAUUAAAUUGUGUUAUAAUUGGUGAAAGAAUUCAUUUUCUUUCAAGAGGUGAUAAAUCUUUUCUGCAAACAAAUUAUAAAAUGCAGAAAAUUGACAAAUGGCUGAGUAAUGACACGAGAGAAUUAUUCCUUUUCCAAGAACUAGGACCGACUAAAAUAGUACAGAUUAUGACAAAAGUCUGUCCUUCAAUCAAGAAUAAUGAUAAUCAAACAAUUCUUAACAUGAAUUAUUUAUUGACAUUUCUUGAAUUUUAUGAAAUCAUAUUACAAGCUGCAAAGUGUAUAGUAAAAUUGCGGAAAAAUGAAAAUGUUUCGACAUAAAAAGUAUAGAUUCCUUUGCAUUAUUUAUUGUCAGUCGAAACACAGUAAUGUUUGUCAAUUAUCCAGUAAAAUGUUUGGUCCGCGCUGAAUUUGCAAGUCGCUUAUCCGCUUGGUAGCGUUUACUUUGGAAAACAUUUAUGAUCUUACAAACGUAACGUAUUUAUGAAUUAGUAGAUAUAUAAAACAAAAUAAAAUAAAAUAAAAUAAAAUAAAAUAAAAUAAAAUAAAAU